UCGACAUAAUGAGGUUAGUGAGUAUGAGGAAAGUCGAUUUUCGCAAAGACGAAAAUUCAACAAUAUGUUUCUCAUAUGCACACUUUUGGAUUAAUAGUCGUAAAGUGCCACUUGAAAUUUCCCAGAGGUCGCGUGAUUAUACAGGCCUGCUGUGGAAACCAUGUCACUGCCCCAGUUCAGACUAUCUAUAAACAGCAAUGAGCUCUCAGAGAUGUCUGCUUUACAUCAGAGAGGGGCCUAUAGUGGAGUAUGAUGUUGCAUAGCUCAUCGAUAUCUGGCUCCCAGGUAUAAAAAAAGUAAAGUGCAUCUCUGUUACUCUUUUCUUCUCUUUAUUUUGCAUGCCCUCACCUGCUCUUUUCUGAAAGGCUAUAUGUGGAAAUAUGAAGUAACACUGCUCAGUGUUUGAUAUAUUUGCAUCAGUGAUUUUUGUACUAGUGUGAGUGGAGUGGAGCGACAGCAGUUUUUCCCUCAUAAGCCACUCCGCCUGAGCUCCAUUCCAGGUUUUCUAUUGUCCUGCUUUGUCGUAUACUGUACUUAAGAUGGGUGGAAACACAGAGAUGUGCUCAUGCACGCCUGGUGAGACG
ensembl:lncRNA